CCGAGGUCCGUGCACUCAGCCCUCGCCUCCUCCCCGCAACGGGCUGAGCAGGCGGCGAGCGCCGAAUCGGGCGCGCGGCGGCGGAGCCGGGGCCGGAGCCGGUCAGGGAGCAUGGACGAACCCCUAGUGAUUUACAGGUAAGUAUGGCCUGCUCUGGGAAACUUGAAAGGACCUACCAUCCACCGAAUGACAUCUUUGUUUCAAGACCUCUACUUCUCUCAGCUUCAAGUUAGCUUUCAAGAUGGUAGCAGACCAGAAAUGGAAAGGAAUUACCCAUUACUGAGCUGCGAUUGACAGGGUUUUGGAGUGGUGGUGA